rnacentral:misc_RNA from 1 species
CACUUUCGACGAACACAAAGGCAAUAAAUUGUACAACGAAAACACAAGAGUAGGGAGAAUUCAUUAGAAUGUUCCAACGAACGUAAGCGCCGCGUAGCUUUUCUGAUGCGCUGACUCCGCGGCUAGUUCUAUUUCAAUCGCGGAUCAGCAAAAACGGAGUGCCGAUUGAUAAGCGCAACAGUUGCUGGACAGUGAAUCGACAUCGGAAAUUAUUUGGUGUAAUAACAGCUUAGAGGCAGGGCUAACGGAGCGACAGCUGUGAAGUUGUGAGCACGCAAACGUAUUGCUGAAGCGGUGUCAGAAUUGUCUAACUGUACUUGCGCACAGUAGAAAUGUUGGAGCUCGACAAAAUCUUGGAGAAAUGUGGCGACUGUCAUCGCUUGCAGGCGAUAAUGCUGUUAUUAUUCUGCAUCAUCAAUUUGCUUUCCGCACUGCACUACUACUCACAGACGAUCAUAAGUUUCGUGCCGAAAUAUUGGUGCAUCGACGGCUAUGCGAAUCCGACGGACGCUUAUGCGGUUGCCAGCGAGCAGACAGGCUCAUCAUGUCUGCCACAUCGGUUUGCAGAGGGGGAUGAAGCCGCGUUUCAGAAUGUCACCGCAAAUGUGUCGCACACGUGUCAGCAAUUCGACUAUGAGCUGUAUAUGGGCUAUCAAAGCUUUACCAGCGAGCUGAAUUGGAUUUGUGAACGCGCUUGGCAGGCAACAUUGGGGCAAUCGAUGUUUUUUGUUGGCUCAGUGGUGGGCAGCUUACUGUUUGGCUUUCUGGCAGAUAGCUUGGGUCGACUUCCCAUUUUGAUCGCCGCCAAUGUAGUGGCAAUGGUUGGUAAUUCCUUGACCAUCUUUGGUACAACGCUUGCAACUUUUUCGUUAUUUCGCUUUCUAUCCGGUAUGGCGACCGAUAGCAACUUCGUUAUGAUGUAUAUUUUAGUUAUGGAGUACUUGCGUCCAUCUCUACGCACUGUUGGGCUGAGCAUCUGCAUUGGUUGCUUUUACUGCCUCGGUUCAAUGGCUGCACCGUGGAUUGCUAUUUUGCUGCAUACGUGGCGCGGUUUCCUUAUCGCUACCUCGACCCCCUUUGCCAUUGUGCCGUUAUUCUACUUCAUUGUGCCCGAGAGUGUACAGUGGUUGAUCUCCAAGCAAAAAUACGACAAAGCCGUUGAGUGCCUGAAGCGUGUGGCGAAGAUCAAUGGACGUGCAGUGGAGGAAUCCGUUUAUACCGAAUUCAUAGAUGAAUGCAAGCGCAGACAGUUGCAUACGAAAUCUGGUCCGAAUCUCUUUGGGCUAUUUGCAACGCCACGCUUGCGACGCAACACGCUUAUCUUGUUUUUUAAGUCCAUGGUCAUCACUUUGUGUUACGACGCGGUGUCGCGGAAUGUUCAAGGUCUCGGCAUAUCGCCAUUUGUCAUGUUCACAUUGAGCGCCACGGCCAUAUUACCGGCCUGCAUACUGUUGAUCGUGCUGCAAGAUCGCAUCGGCCGCAAAGCGAUGGCGUCCAUGUCACUGCUGCUAAGUGGUAUUUUUAUAUCGGUCACCGGUGCAAUACUCUUCUGUACUGAGCGUAGUGGCGGCGAGAAGGAUGUCGUAUUGGUCGUGAUAUUGUCGGUUAUAGGACGAUUUGGUGUAACGGUUGCUUACAAUUCUGGCGCGCAAUAUGCAACUGAGUUGAUACCGACUUGCGUGCGCGGCCAAGGUGUAGCGGUGGUGCAUGUCAUGGGUUAUGCGUUCACCUUCUUCAGUUCGUACAUUUUGUACACACGUUCGAUCUUUCAACCAAUGCCGGAGAUAAUUUUGGGUCUACUUUCGUUGUUGGGUGCUGGAUUGUGUUUACUGUUGCCUGAGACGCUCAAUAGUGCGCUCUCUUCACUUUGGAGGCCAGUUGCGUUGGUAUUAUUUUUAUGCUUUUGCAACAUGUUGAGUAUAAUAUCUAGUUUUGUUCAUCUAACGGUUGAAUGUAUCACCUAAAACUAAUCGAGAUAGAUAUAGGGUUAUAUACUAUAUAAAUGAUCAUGAAUGAACUUUAUAUUAACAAAUUCUUCAAUCUAACGAACCUUGCCCACUUCUCUGGAAGAUGGAGAAAACUUUGGCAAAAACGAGCGUUGGUAUAAUUUCAGUUUCCUGGAGAAACGUACACAAUCGG